CUCCAAUGUUGCAUUUCUUUUCUUCAUAAUAUUUUCAUGCAUUUCUACAAAUUUUGCCAUGGGGUGGAGAGAAGUUUUAAAGCUGAUUUCCUGUUAUUCUACACAUUUUGCCAUGUUCAUAUGAUAUCUGAGUGAGAGUACCUAACAAAAAUCAAUGGGGGCCCCCUGGAGGUCAGGGCCCCUGGACACAUGCCUUGUUUGCCUGGUCAGUAAUUACUACAAGGUGUAGAUAGCUGGCUAGACUAACUUACCAAUACAAACCCAUUUUUAGCUGACAUGAGCUACUUCAGUGACUGUCAGUGACUGACAUUACAUGAGAUACUGCUGAUGCGCUACCAUAUUUCAAAAUUGCACCUUGUGUAUUCGACUAACUCUCAGCAAAAAUGUGAAUUUGGGUUAGGGGCCCCCUAGCGUCUGGGGGCCUUAAGCGACCGCUUAUGUCACUUAUGCCCAGGACCGGCCCUGGACAAUUCAUAACAAAGUAUGAUACAUUUUUGAAGUCCUGCAACCAUCAGUAACAACUGCAUUCCUUCUCUUAUACAGAUCAGAGGUCUUUGUUUUCUGUGCUGAGCAGCACCCCAAGAUCCAAGCCCAACACCCAAGCCUUGGCAUUUGGGAUGUGGCCAAGAAGCUUGGAGAGAUGUGGAACAAUAUGACAGACUCCAAUAACCAGCCAUAUCUUGCCAAAACCAACAAACUCAAGGAAAAAUACAAUAAGGAUGUGGCAGGUUACAAAGGAGGAAAAGGAAAACUGGGCGGGGCAGGAGCCUCUAAAUUGAAGAAGGCGGAAGACGAAGACUAUGAUGAUGAGGAUGACUAAUAGAAAAGGGUAUUGUGGUUUGUUAAGACACUGGCCAUUUAGAUGUGAGCACACAUAUCUGUAGGUUUACACCUAGUUCAACUGUCCCAGAAGAAAACAUCAAAUUGGUUUUGAAACUGGUUUCUCACUGUAGUUUCUUUCUGGCUGUCAUUUUGAGUCUUUAACACUUUGCUCUCCAGUGUUUGUCUUGAUCCCUUAGCUUUUUUUGAAAAGCUGAACAAACCUAUUCACAGUGAUAGCAUAAGGGUUCAUACCCUAUACAAUGCUUGUAUGGUGAUGUGUAUGCUACUAUAUGGUUGUUGAAAUAGAUUUAGAUUUAAUUUUUCUCUUUUACAGGGAUCCACAUUUCAAGGAAUUGUAAGUUUGCGUUUGAGGGAAUUGUAUGUGUAUCUAGACACAAAAUCCAUAGACUUGAGGUAGGUGUCCAGUCUGACAAUCAGGUAUUCCGGUAACAUUGCCGUGGCCUAUUAUGCCAACCACCUGUGUGUUUGAGGCAGGACUGAUCCAUUUCAAUGUGUUGUGGCUGAAAGGAAUGAUGAUGAAAUGGGUUCUAUGUUUUCAUUGUUCUGUUGUUAAUUUGGAUAAGUGGAAUGACAUUUUAGAUCUUAACAUUUCUCCAUCUCUUGACCAGUGGUGACAAUACAUCUGUUGGACAAGGAGUUUUUCUUUGCACCUGCACAAUGUGUUUUGUAUGUCUCUGAUCUAAAUAAUAACGUUUUUUACGUUCUGUGUGGACCAAAUAGAUUUAUUCCCUCUAUGGAAAUGACUGAUUUUGUAUUUUUUGUGGUCUUUUUCUUUAGCGGUAAAUGUCAUAAACAUUAUGCUAUUUUGAUUUUACAUUGGAACAUUUAGCAGAUGCUCUUAUCCAUAGCAACUUGCACUACUGUUGUGACAGGCAUUCAUAUUUUAGUAGCAACGUUAAAACUCAUUAUUACACUUAAUAGGAACAUGUCACAAUUCUGAGAAUGUAAGAAUUUAGCUGCUUACAAUUUCUUAAAGAUAAGAAUACUUCUAUGCUUUGGGCCCUGAAAGUGCUCCCUGGAAAGCCACUAUCCUCAAUUGAAUCCUGGAUUUAAUCUUCAAGGUUAAUAAUACAUUUUUUAAAUAGCUCCUCUCAUUGAGUUUUGAGAAUAUAAUCUGCAAACCACCUUUCCCCAC
ensembl:lncRNA